rnacentral:rRNA from 1 species
GACGUAGGGGGCGAGCGUUGUCCGGAUUUAUUGGGCGUAAAGAGCUCGUAGGCGGCUCGUUGCGUCGGCUGUGAAAACCCGCAGCUCAACUGUGGGCUUGCAGCCGAUACGGGCGGGCUGGAGUUCGGUAGGGGAGACUGGAAUUCCUGGUGUAGCGGUGAAAUGCGCAGAUAUCAGGAGGAACACCGGUGGCGAAGGCGGGUCUCUGGGCCGAUGACUGACGCUGAGGAGCGAAAGCGUGGGGAGCGAACAGGAUU